AUUGAACGCUGGCGGCACGCCUAACACAUGCAAGUCGAACGAGCGGCGGACGGGGGAUGAAUGUCUGGGAAACUGCCUGAUGGAGGGGGAUAACUACUGGAAACGGUAGCUAAUACCGCAUACAGUCGGAUGUGCCCAGAUGGGAUCAGCUAGUAGGUGGGGUAAAGGCGCACCUAGGCGACGAUCCCUAGCUGGUCUGAGAGGAUGACCAGCCCCACCUGAACUGAUACACGGUCCAGACGCCUACGGGAGGCAGCGUGGGGAAAAAUUGCAACAUGGGCGAAGUCCUGAUGCAGCCAGGCCGCUUGUAUGAAGAAGGCCUUCGGGUUGUAAAGUACUUUCAGCGUGGAGGCGUUACCCGCAGAAGACGCACCGGCUAAGUGCGUGCCAGCAGCCGCGGUAAUUC
rnacentral:rRNA from 1 species